AAACCUCUCUAUGAAGUAGAGCUGAGCUUGAACUGACCUGUGCUGACACCAGAGCAGACGGGUGUACCUCUGCACGGUGCACGGACGCUGAACUGUGGAUACCUUUUUAUCCUGGAGCUGAAAAUCAAGACUUCUCUCCUCUUUGGACCGUGGAAUCUUAUUUUUUAUUUCUUUAUUCUUUUAAAAAGUUUGUUUCUAUUUUUGUUAGUCUGCUGUUUUCAGGAUGCUUGGCCCUGUUACUUUGCAGCAGAUCAUUUCCUACCUGUUCAUGCUCUGCAGCGCUGCAGUGAUGGCAGAGGGAGAGUGCCCUGCUGAGUGCUCCUGCGCAGCCUCACCCCCGAUGUGCCCGCCGGGCGUCAGCUGGGUGACCGACCACUGCGGCUGCUGUAAAGUUUGUGCAAGGCAGUUCAAUGAGGACUGCAGCGCCGCUGAACCCUGCGAUCACAUCAAGGGGCUACGCUGCCACCUGGGGGCCGGAGGGGACCCUGAGAGAGGACUGUGUCGAGCUGAGGCCCAGGGAUUGCCUUGCGAGUUCAACGGACGGGUGUACCAGCACGGCGAGGACUUCCAGCCUGACUGCCAGCACCAGUGCACCUGCAUGGACCGGGUGGUGGGCUGCAUGCCCCUCUGCCCACAGCGAAUCCCUCUUCCAGACUGGCGCUGCUCACGGCCUCGGCUGGCGAGGCCAGAGGGCGGCUGCUGUGAGGAAUGGGUGUGUGACGACAACAACCACAUCAGUGAGGAGCCAGACGAGCUGACACACACCUCCAUGCCAGACGGACGGCCCCUCCCCAACCACAUCAGUGUCCUGCUGGAGGCCCAGCCGCAUCCCCGACACCCAGCUGCCACCGGAGGGGCCACGCUCAGAGAGAUGGUGUCGUUCCCCAUGUCUGAGGGGUUUCUAGAAUCCCGCUGUUUCCCGCAGACGACAGAGUGGACCCAGUGCUCCACCACGUGUGGGAUGGGGAUCUCCAGUCGAGUGACCAACAACAACCCGGACUGUCAGCUGGUCCGAGAGACCAGACUGUGCCAGAUCCGGCACUGUGAGCUGCAGCUUCCUCUCGCUAACAAGAAGGGGAAGAAGUGUCAGAAAACAGUCCGCCCCCAGGAGCCAGUCAGGAUCACCUUUGCUGGAUGUUGGACGUCACAGAGGUACCGCCCUCGUACCUGUGGGAUAUGCACAGACGGCCGCUGCUGCACACCCUCCAUGACCCGCACUGUGAGGCUCCGCUUCCACUGCUCUGAUGGAGAGGGCUUCUACAGAAACGUCAUGUGGAUCCAGCGCUGCAGCUGCAGUACAAGCUGUCAUUCACACAGUGGGUCCUCCAUCCCGUCGGUCAGCCUCCACAACGACAUCCACACCUUCAGGCACUGAGGAGGAGGACUCAUCAGACCCAGCCCGGGGCCUUACACAAUGACUCUGCACCUUCCCCCUCACCCAAACACAACCCCCCCCCCACCUGUCUGUCAGCUGGGCGAGCUCCUGCCUCCCCCUCCCACAACCAGCCAGGCAAUAUGUUCGCUUGCACUUUAACAUUUCCUGCCACGAUGAUGUCACAGUUUGUCUGCACUAAAGGUGUGUGACUUCUCUAGUACCAAGGAGCACUGAGGAGCACACACUGUUCGCAGAAAGCUUUAAUCAAAACGUCUUUAAUUUAUUUUUAUAACUUUGUGUCCUCCCCACAGAGAUCGAACAGAGAGAAGGUUGUUUUAGACGAGAAAAAAAGACAACAUCUAUAAGAAGUGAUGGGAACAAUGGCGAUGCUAAAUCAAUGAUGAAGAACUAAAAGACAAAUUAUUUAGUAAUAAGUGUGGUUGUUUUUCUUUAACACCAGUCAUUUGUGAUAAAAUGUUUUCUUCAUGUAUUGAUUUGUGUGUGUGUGUGUGUGUGUGUGUGUGUGUGUGUGUGUGUGUGUGUGUGUGUGUGUACAAGCUUUGCUCAGAGAGAGUUCAGUAAGCUACAUCAAUUGAAGUAUAAAGUGUACAUAGACUUCACUCUUAGCUGUGGAGUGGUAAAUUCUAGGAUCACCUCAUUUUUCGGGGUGUGAUUUAUACUAUAAUAUGUGUUGGUGUUCUUGACAGUGUACAUACGAUGCUUUAUUUCUAGGGAUGAAACGAUGCUUUAUAUUUGAAAAGAAUUGUUACAUGUGUUCAGUGGAUGUUUAACCUGUAAACUCCAGUACAUCAAAUAAAAAUGUAUCAACCUUUAAAGUCUUA